AGAGCGAACGCUGGCGGCAGGCUUAACACAUGCAAGUCGAGCGGGCGUAGCAAUACGUCAGCGGCAGACGGGUGAGUAACGCGUGGGAACAUACCUUUGGUUCGGAACAACCCAGGGAAACUUGGGCUAAUACCGGAUAAGCCCUUACGGGGAAAGAUUUAUCGCCGAAAGAUUGGCCCGCGUCUGAUUAGCUAGUUGGUGAGGUAACGGCUCACCAAGGCGACGAUCAGUAGCUGGUCUGAGAGGAUGAUCAGCCACAUUGGGACUGAGACACGGCCCAAACUCCUACGGGAGGCAGCAGUGGGGAAUAUUGGACAAUGGGCGCAAGCCUGAUCCAGCCAUGCCGCGUGAGUGAUGAAGGCCCUAGGGUUGUAAAGCUCUUUUGUGCGGGAAGAUAAUGACGGUACCGCAAGAAUAAGCCCCGGCUAACUUCGUGCCAGCAGCCGC
rnacentral:rRNA from 1 species